UCCCUGGUGGCUCAGACGGUAAAGUGUCUGUCUGCAAUGCAGGAGACCCAGGUUCAAUCGCUGGGUUGGGAA
rfam:Ovis aries breed Texel chromosome 9, whole genome shotgun sequence.